UCCCUAGAGAAAUGAUUUAAAAGAGAGUAAUUAAUUAAGUGCAACAGUAAUCAAGAAAAGAACCUCUGAUAAACAGCAGGCAGUACAAGUCAAGUCUUACUGAAUCAUCCUCAAUGAUAGCUGCGGAGUCAAAGAAGUCUGGCCUCAGUUCAGCCCGUUCUCGUCGGUUUCUUGAAGGUGGCUGAAAAGAUGGGCAGGCUGUUAGAACAUCACAUCCAUAACUGCCUGCAAAGGAUCUGCUGGCUCUACAGCUGAUCGGUACAACGUGUUCACCCAUGGCCUUACAAAGCAGCUUUGCGUGGAUUUCUGUAAAAGCUCAGCUGACCUCGUGAGGACAUCAUUACAUCUUCGAAGAUGGGCUCAGCAUCAUCUUCCAUUAGACCGCGUCUGAUUAAGUAGAAAGAAGUCAUCGAUUUCAGCCAUUGUAAUUUCCCAACCAUGCACUGUCAUUAAGAACAAUGCAACAUCCUAUCCCCUAAUUCUUUCUCAACAUUAUCUUGAGAAUAAAGCCUGCAUGUUUAUUCAACAUUAGCUGGAAGAAAAUUGUAUGUAAAAAACUUCCCACUGGCAGAGGCUAAAGCAGGAAGUCCGGUGUAAUAUCAUUAUGACCACUAAUUAAAUCUGUCCUUGAGAAGGAAAGGGAGCUACAGUGUUUGCCAGGAUCACUGCUAAGUGCCUGGGAAAGCAGUGAAACCAAGACCAGUUGCUAUAAUGACCUCAUCUUGCUAGACUCUGGCCCCCACCCUGAGAAGUAUUUAUGUGCAGAAAGACUUCAUUAGAUCAGCACAGGAGCACAGAGCACCUUGUACAACAGAACACUUCUGCAUUCACCCAUGUGUGUUCCUUCCAUUAGCUGCCCAGUGGGACGCCUUUGGAAGAGAUGAGGUGGGUGAACAAAGCUUAAACAUGUUCAUGGGAAAACUGGCAAACAACUUGAGAUAAACGCUUGCUGUAAAUUACUUAAUAAGACAAAUCACAGUGCUUCAUGGCAAGUGUCUGAAAAUAGCUGAAAGCAAUUAGAGAACUAUGAAAAAUGGUACCACAAAGGUCUGCUGCGUUCACUAGGCACCUGCUUACAGCUGUGGUUAGGGGCAGAACACUUGGCUACAGCACCCUAUUGCCUGGCAUCCAUCCCAACACUGCAAAGCUGUUACUCUGCCUUUAUUAAGAAAAGUUAAAUAUCAUCACAGAAUUUACUGCUAACAACCCAGAGAAGUAACACUUAAAUGUGUCAUUGCCAUCUAAGAUCAUUCUGGAUCUGGAGAUGAAGAUGCUCUGAACACUUACACUGCAUGCCUUACACCAGUUCUCCCUUUCAUGUAGUUCAUUCCUGUCCUGUCCUUUCGAUUUAAAUCUUCUAGCUUCUGUUGGCCCAACCAAGAUAUCUGCAUCUGGGGACUAACAAACAGAGCAGCGUUAUGACUGGGAACACUUAACGAUUCUGAGUUGGUUGUUUUUAGACAGCAUUUCCGCAAGUUUUGUGUCUGGGUAUGCUUCAGAUUUAGUUAUUUAAAUUACAUCCAUCAUUGUACAAGUCUUCUGGAUACCCUUCUGCAAUUUGUCUCCUCCCACUGUGCGUGCACAAAAAAAUCCAUUAAUUGUUACAAUAAAAACAGCUACAUAAAAUGCUAGCAUCACUCAUUCAUUAAUGCAGCAUGCACCUGAAACGAGAACGCUCCAAAAAUUUAAUUCCCUGCCUCAGAUCAGGCAGAAAUAAGAAAGAAUAGAUCCAAGUUAAUAACAGAAACAUUUCAAGACAAAAACAAACAAACAAACAAACAAACAAACAAAAAAAAACACACAAAGUGAAAAACAAAUUGCUUUCAAAUGCAUACUCCCAAUCAACUUUAGCAUCCAGUAACUUAUCCAUAUGCAAACUCCGGAAAGGCUGUACUUAGCACCAACUAAAUCCAGCAUUAGAAAGCAAUGCAUUCAAUGUUUUUUGUAUUCCAGUUAGAAAUAGACAGUAGUAGAAUAAGUGCAGAUCUACAAGAGGAACAUCACUUUUUAAUUAUGUAAUCUCAUACCCUAGUGAGAUUGACACAAUAAAAGUGAGGAACCAUGUGAAAACAACUCCGGAGGAAAUACUGCUCUGGGCAUGACUGACCACUUCUGUUCAGCAACUGACUGCUCCAUUUUUUCUUGACCCUCAUCUUCCAUAGAAUUACUUAGGCUGGAGAAGACCUUCAAGAUUGUCAAGUCCAACCAGCGUUUUAAGUGUCUAGUGUUAGAUACCUGUAUACAGCUAUUAUGCAAAUAGUAUACAUUAGAUUGUCUACAACUGUAUACAUUCAUAUUUUUAGGGAUUUUCUAUGGAAUGCAUAGGAUGUUUGGGAUCAAUUCACAAGAGGAUUAGGGAUCAGCAGGAUCCAACUAUAAGGUAUGUUGUGGCACACAAGAGACAGCAUUUUAAGUGGGAAGAUGAGGUGACCCUCAGGAUGUGUGUGGAGGAGCAGCUAACUCCAGGCUGAAAGGAAACUAUUCUCUACUGUUAGUUCACACUGUGAACUUCUGUGUUGGAUCCAAGGAGAGCAAUGCUGUCUGUCUUUGCUCAACAGUUCUCUGCCUGCAGCAUUCAGCUGAGAUAGGAGAAACAGAGGGUCAAGCACAGAGUGAAAAACCUGGUGCAGCUUCUCCCUGAAAAGAGUAAGGUUCUCCCACACCUUAAGGCAGCUCCUGUUCAUGAGGCUCAGGAAGGUGAUGCACAGCAAGUGGAAGCAGCCACACUUUCCUUAACCGAUUAAGUAUUUAUUCACAGAGAGUUCAGCACAAUGAGAUGGGAUCAGAGAGGUGCAGGGAAAAGGCUCAUGCUUCACCAAGUUCUUUGUUUUUUUGGUUUUUUGUUUGUUUUUUAAAUUGAGGACUAGAAAAAAAGGAGAAAUUGUUGAGCUACAAAGUCUUCUUUAUAAUCUAGAAAUUACACCUGGUGAGGCAAACUCCUGAGCUCAGGAAGCAAGGAACAUGAAUGUAGAUUCUCAGUACCAUAGGAGUAAGGUGAUAAGAUACUUUGGUUUGGAUGUUAACAGUUCAUCCUCAGUUGCGCUUUCAUGGCCAGCUGGGGCUUCCUGCCCAUCUCAUCUGUAUAGGUGAGAAAACCCAUGCCCCGACUUGCCUUGUAUUCACAUCUUUAUGUGCCAACCCUCAUUCCUUCCAGAUAGCACCAGCUGGGAAACCUUUUGCCCAUGCCAGGCCUUUGUGCAGGAGAACAAGCAGCCCUGCCUGCAGCGUGAACCUGCCCGGUGAGCCUUUCACCACAUCUCACACUGCCUUGUGGUGAUACCACGUUGUUAGUGUGGGGAAAUCAGGGAGCUGAAUUCAUUUAUGGAAACAUCAAACAUGCUGCAAAAACAAAGUUAUCUGUAGCCAGCUGAGAUGCAAGUAUCUCUUGUGGCAAACACAGAUUCAUGGAUCUUAUCAAGGUUUCAUCUGUUGUACUGCUGAUGUCUGUGCAUGCUGCGUACACAACUAAGGGACAAGAAUAGGCUAUAAAAAUUAGAAAAACAGCCUCCAACCCAGUCACUGUUAUUCUUUGUCUUCAGACUGAUAGAACUAGCACAUAACAGCAUCCUCUGAAGACUUUGUUAAAUAAACUACUGACAGAUAAUAACAACCAUUUUCCCCCCCAUAAAUAGAUUUAAAUGGAGGUGACAAGAUGGGAGUUGAAUGACAAAAAAUUAUGACUAAUUUAGGGCAAAAUAAAACUGCCUGCAAAAGUGCCCAGAAGCAGGAGAUACCAGCUCAGCAGCUGGACUGGACUGAAGAGUUAAUUUGUAAGAAAUCAGUAAAGACGUCUGGAGAACAUCUACUGUACUGUGACAGAAGGGAAAAAAAAAAGAGAAUAUCUAAUAGGUCUUUCAAGAAACAGUUCAAUCCAACCUGGGCCCACAAACCCUAUGAUUUAUCCAUAAGCCCACAGUUAAGCUAUAGGAUAGUUUUAACGUAAAGAACUUCCACCUUGACUUCAUUACAAUCUUUUUUUUUUUUUUUUUUGGAGAGGGAGAUUUAAAAUAAUCUAAGUAUUGCUGAGCCAUAGCCAAGAUCUUUCCAGUUACUUUUGCAAAGAAAUACUGCAUCUGUGAAGCCACAACUACCUGUAUACAUUUUACACAGCUUCUUUACCUGGAUUUUAUUGUGUUUGUUCCAGACACUCGAACACUUACUUGUGUAAAAAAUCCUGUUCAGAUCCCUGCUCCGACUCGUGCUCCUGGAUCUGCUCUCCCAUUUGUCUGGUGUUCUCUCUCAAGACAGUUGAGGUGAGCUGUGGUGCUUGCAGUGCUCCUGGUGUAUGUAUGUUUUCAUUCCUGUUCAGCCAAGAGCCUUCCAGACUCUCAUCUAGGAAAGGAACAUUCAGAAUUACUGACACAUUAGUGAUGGUAUAAAAUGCAGUACUGCUGCCUUUAAAAUCUUCUCAGCCAACUCACUGAACCUUACGUCAAUAAUUAAAGCCUUCCAUCUAUGAUGCACUUCAAUACAGAGUUCUUUUUAGAAGAAGCACCUCCUGCAAAUUCAUCAGUUUUCAGUAGUUCAGGAUCUAUUGGAAUAGGUGUGUCUUUAAGAGAUCAGCUGGAUAAGCACUCAACAUGGUAAUUUUUGUGUUCUGCUAAGGAAAGACGAUUACCAGUUAUUCCCAGCAAUAACAACUAUUCAAAGUAGAAAUACUUAAGAAAACAAAAUAAAAACCAUUGCAAACAUACUGCAUUGCAGCACUACCUGCAUUGUUGGGUGGCUCGUACACAUUUCACAAAAACAAUUCCUAAGUACCAAUUUUGCAAUCUAAAUAUAAGACUGUUAGUCUCAUACAUAUACAUCAAAUGAGAUACAACUGAACACUACAGUGGUAGUGGAGGCUUUGGCCUUAGGAAACUCCACUGAGAACCAUGCCAGUGGAGUACAGAGGGGACGUUUUAAAUAAGGAGAGGUCUGUCUGGUGUAAACUUCAGUGAUUUCAGAUAGCAUAUUUAGAGUUCAGAGCAGACAGGAGGAUGGAGAUGGGAAGGUGUAUGUGGGAUGCUGGGCUCGUACUGAGAAGGCAGCAAACCAGAGACGAAGAGCUGGUGGGGCCUGAGAUGAACAUGUGAGAACACAACUGUGCAGACAAGAGACAUGUAGAUGCUGCUGCAGCAAGUGAAAGACAAGAGACUACAGAAGAGGAGAAGACAAGAUCAUAGAUUUACUAACAGGGCGAAAUAGCAGUGAGAAAGUAGCUGGAGACCUCAACAGGUCUCUGUUUUCCUAUGCCUUUGGGCUUAAAAGCUGUCUAAAAAGUUGCCUAUUUAUUCUUGAAUUUGCCUUUUAUGACACUAGGGUUUUCUAAAACCCUUCUUAUGUUUCACUUCCCUAAGGCAUUAUGAAGAAAUGUCAGAACCACCUAUACAGACAGCAGUUCUACUUUCAGUAACAAUAGAGAAUAUCCUCCAGCCCGAACAGUCAGCUGAACCCAAUACACACCAGACUGAGGGCAGGAAGGAACUACAGGGGUCUGGCUUUGGUUCUUAGACGCCACGAUAGUUUCUGCAGUGACCACGUCCUUCCUUUAGAAUGGGAUUUAAAGGAAAAAAAACCUUAGCAGGAUUCAGAAACAGGUCUGCAUUUGUGGUUUUAAUGCUAGAUUAAAAUUAAAACUAGGACUUUUGGAAGAGUUAUAAAAAUAUGUAAAGAUAAAAAACAACAAUGGCCUGCGUACCUGCUGAAUACAGACUAUUUGUAGGCAAUCAGCUGCUCAGAUUGGUUCUUUAUAGCUCAACUUCUACAGUGCACUGAACAGUAAAUACUUAUUUCUAAGAAGAGGAUUACAUUUCUGAUUAUUUCCCGAGCUCAUUAUUUGUACAUACAAAAUGAGCCCCUUCCUUGUGCAGCAGUCUGUAUCUGCCCACAACAAACAGGCACACUGGCUCCAGGCUGUGCUGCUGUGAAGUGAUCUCCUGUGGAAACUUUGGUACACUCAGAUCUUUCACAAAGUGAACAAUUAGGUGAACAGCCAUAGAUUCAGGCUGACAGCAUUUUAAGUCAGAGAUGUCUUUGGAAAAUUCAGGACCCCAGAUAUUGCAAAGAAAGGUGAUAUUCUUCUUUCUUCAAAGAAAGGAAGGUGUUGCAAGUCAGUUCUUCCUCCUAUUGAUCACUGAACAAGGCAGGCAUGAAAGAGAGCGGGGCAAACAAUGUCAUAAAACCUAAACCCUAAGAAUAAGACUUGCCUUAUAGGGGAGCGGAGAUGUUACUACAGUGCCUGGAAAAAUAAGGAUACUGGUAGGAUAAAAUAAAGCAGAAUUCAAGUAGUAACAGGAGGAAAAAAAAAAAAAAAGACUCCAGUUGAAUCCCGUGUAAACCAUGGCAACCAGAAGGAAGCACAACAACGUCUGAAGAAAGCAAGCUGUGCUUUCUUCUACCUAGACUCUAGGUUGGCUAUUGGAAACUGAAAGACUUAGCUCAUGCACUGCUCAGCAUAAGCUGUAGGGGAGAACGGACCUGACUAUAAGUGCAUACAGACUAACACUUGAGGAAUGGGAUACCUUUGGUAAUUGACUAUAUUCAGGAGAAUUAGCAUUAGAUUCUUCACUGAGAGAUUACUAUGGUAGAUAACAAUCUUGAAAAACACUUAGAAGUUUAAAGAUCUCACUUAUAAUUGCUGUCUAUUGAAACAGCAAGCAUGAUCACAUAAACAUGCACUACAUUGUGCAUUUUCAUAUCAACCAGGAAUAGAUGCAGUCCUGUAAGAAGUUGGCCAUCAUUGCCAAAUUCCUGAUGUACGCUCCCAAAGUCAUAGGAAAAGUAAACAUACUGUAUAUUGGUGCCAUGUUGAACAAAAACAUGCAUCUUUUUAGUGUUCUCCAGUGUCCAGCCAAAAUACUGAUCUGUAUCAGAAUUUCUGCCUCAGGUUUGCUCCAACACCAUAUAAAUUAACAUCUGCUUCAAAAUGAAGCAUUCAUUUUGAAGCAGAUGUUAAUUUAUUAAUUUAUAUGAAGCAGAAAACAGAAAUCUGUGACUGGGAAAGGUGCAGAGCAGUUAAUUCCACAGCCACCUCCUGUUUCCACUGUCAGUAAUAGCUGUUAGCAGUUCUCCAUCUGAAAACCUCAGGACAAGCAGGAACAGGGAAUUACAAGGCUAUUUCUCAUACAGAAAUGUUGAAGCUUGACAGGAAUUUGUAGAACAAGUGCUUUGCUUUCACUACAUACAAAAUAUAAGGAAAGCUGUAAUGUCUGUACAAAAUGAGAAAUACCUCUACUAGGCAAGGUAAAACCAUACAAACCUUCUACUCUCUUUUUGUGUAGCGGUGGCCGUCCUUUCUUAUUUCUCACUGAAGAGGUUUUGCUGCUGCUACUCCCACUGUUAACAGACAUUCUGUCAUCUUCGCCGCCUGUAACCAGUGAGUUCCUAUAGGAAAUCAGUGGGAGCCACACGUCUUCUCUUCUCUCCAUCAUCUGUUCUGUCAGAAACUUUUCCAAGUAGGUGUGACUGAAAAUAGAAGACAAUGAGUGCAGAGGCUCUGUGCGCUGUUUCCGCUGUAAUUGACGUGCAAGUCCUCUCCGCACUGCUGAGAGCUUAACAGAAAGCUGUCACGGUGCUUCCUGAUUUGAAUUUGAUAACGUAUGUUGAUAAGGCAUUGUACCUUGAACUGAUUAAGAACUCAUGGCAUUCCCUCAGAACAAAGUAAUUGUCAAUUGUGUACAGGUUACUCAGAUAAACAAUUUAAAGUUUUCUCUCCCUGACAUCUUCCUGCAUUGGCCUGCAGUCACUCACAGUGCACUCUACCCGAAUUCCCCUUCUAUUCUGAAUAGCUGUAAGUCACUUCUCUAUAUUGCUGGUGUGUCAACAGACAAUCUGAAUUAGCAGACUGAGGAUAUAAUUUUGCAUAUUUGGAAUGGGAAAAGAACAGUUUCCUCAAAUACAAGUAGAUAUUUUUCAGUAAAAAACUGAAGACCCAUUCCAUUGCCAUGGAGAAGUGCAGUGAGAACUUGUUAAUUUAUGGGAGGAACCAACCACCUUCUGUCCCGCAUGUGGCCUAGAGGACAUGUGAGCCAUUUUCCUUUUCCACUGAACGUUUAAUUAAGCGUGUCCAUAAAAUGAGUAAGAAAAGCCACUUAAAAGUGAUUUCCAAUGAGUUCAAACUAAAGAACCAAGCGUUCAGAAUUAAGGCAAGGCACUGUACUUCAGCAUUACCUCCUUCUGUAUAAAAAAUAUGUUAUGACGCACUCUGUGAUCACAAUCUCAUUCAGCACCACAUUGCCAAGUGGCAAUAAUAAGGGUAAUAGUAACAAUAACAACAUAAUAACAGUAAUACAAAUAAUAUCAAUUAUACUAAUAAUAAAGAAGUAGGUCAGAAAGGAAGCAGAGGCCUAGCAAAAUGGUAGCGUUUCCUGCACUGUGAUGGGAAUGGUAUCUUGCACCAAGGGCAGGCGACAGGCAGGCAUACCGAAUCAAUAAUAUUUAUUUUGAGGUAGGGAUGGCAGUCUGGAGGGUAGGUGGCCCUCCAGCUUGCCCCCAUAUCUGCAGACAGGCAGGUAUGCUGAUGAGAUCUUCAGGGUUAUUCUAGAGCACUUUAACCUCCAAACUAACAGCCCACUGCUGAGCUUACAGUCAGCUGGCAGGAGACCAAGCCAGCAGGGAGGUAAGUGAUCCCAUACACAGGACUUCUCCACCAGAUGGUGGUCAUGUUCCUUCCUGCUUGCAGCCUGCUGCCCCUUUGCAGGGCGGGGGAGAGGUCCCUCUGGAUUGGUGCAGCCAUGCUACAGGGAAGGGCAAAAUCAACUAUCCAGAGUAUAGCUGAGAAUGUAACGUCAGCAAACUGCUAUGGGGCAAUGCACCCAUUGCCUGAUGAGUGCAAACAUGACAGAUCUCUCAAGUGAAGAAAUGCAGAGAUCUCCAAAAAACAUCUUUACAUAUAAGCUAGUUAUCUUGACUCUCUCCAUAGUCACAGCAGCCAAUGGAAUCUAGGGCAUAUCUGAGCUUAUCUUAGAGCAGUAAUUUAGAACAGAUCAGAUGAAUCAUGUCCUAAAGACCCUAUUUCUUUUCACCAAUCUUCAAAUGCAGCUAAAGUAAAUACUCAGAUACAGAAGGCUACAAGAAAGACAGCUAAAAUCAGGAGAAAUGGAUUCCACCAUGGCAACCUUUGCAGUCCUGAGAAAAAUGUGAGAAAAAAAAACGUAAAUGGUAACAAAGAAGGGUAAAGAAUGAGAAAUACUGAACUUCAUGCAAAGGUUCAGGUCUGAUUUAGUUGUCAGGUAUGCUGUGUACAGGUAAUAUAACUUCAGAUUUUAGACACUGGAGAAACUUGUGGAAGUACUGGUAAGUGUGCAGGAAGAAUAAGCUUCAAUAAAUUCAACUGGAAUCAGGCUAAUUACACUUAACCUAACAGAUACAGGGAACCUACAGUUCAGCUAGAAAGGCAGCCAGAAAAUCUUUGUAUUAAGCCCUGUUCUGAAGAACAGAACAGAGGUUGACCAAAUUCAAGAAUAUAAUAAUGCAGAGCAGUUUGAUAACCUAAGUGUCAGGUUAGCCUGGAUGAAUAGUCUAAUUCUCAAGCUAGUUCUUCUACUGCGUUUGCUGAAUUGGAAAGUUAUUUAUACUAUUAAGAAAAAAGAACUACAGAGAAGUUUGACAGAAAGAGUCAAUUCAGGUAGUUGUAGUAGUAUGACUUUAUAUAUACUUGUAGAAUGACUUAAAUUCACUGUGGCCAAAAGUCUGACUAGAAAGAUAUUUACAAGCAUAAAUGAGAAGAUUUGGUAAUUACAUAUUUAAAUUGUCAUGACGCUAUUCAAAGAACUCAGUUCUACACUGGCACACAGUGCUAGGAUGACAUUUAACUACACUCUAUUUUUUCUUUACUGCUUUUCUAUGCCAUGGCCAAAUCUUGGAUAUUUGUUACAGAACAUAUUAGAAAUAUACACCCUUACCUCUGCAGUGAUGCUGACAACACAUCUUUACUAUGAACUUGCCUUCACCAAUGCAGCUUUCUCUUUAUCAAUUCUCUUAAUAUCCACAGCUGCCUUUGACAUUUUUUUUUUUCAAAUGUUGGUCAUACACCAGUAUUCCUGCUAUACAUUCAGCUCUUAUCAACAGUACAUCUGAUUUAUUUCAUUUUUGGUACUUCAUCUGCAGCCACUGAUGGCCAUACCAAAUACAGGUUGCUUGUUUCAGUCUGAGGUCUCUAUCACCCUGCUCUUUCCUAAACAACAACAGUGCUGUCUCUCACCCUGUCUUUCUGUCCUAUUGUGCCAGUAACAGAAGCCUUGACAACUCAAUUUACUGAGUUGAAGUGGGCUUCUUAAAAUAAACAUAAAUAUACUUCUCAUACAAAUGUCUAACAGAAAUGGAUGUUACUGCAAUGUUUAGAGGCCUAUAUAUUUCCUAUACUGCUUACAGCUUAUUCCUUUUUCUGUUUGUCUGAAAAAUGAUUAUUUUCAGUGCUCCAUGAGAAAUUUUAAGCAACGUUGUUUUGUAAGGUCUCAAGUUCACUUGAUCAGUGGAUUUGAUUCUUCUUUUCUGAUUUAUUUAUUACUUCAAAAUAUAAAUUGAUGAAUAACUAUGUAAAAAGCCACUGGGCCUUCCUAAAACCCCCACUAGACAAUGAAAACCUCAAAGCAGAGAACUUAAGCACAAUUCAACUAUUAACACAACUCAGCAAAACCCACCAAAGAAAGCAAGGCUGUUACUUACACAGUCUUUUUGUCCUGCCGCAGGAGUUUAGAAGAGAAUUCACUAAGCACUUCAAGGAAAGCAAGGUUAGGAGGAGGAUAGUCUUGUCCUUUUUGAUUCUGAUAUUUGAAGGCAAACUCUAUUCCAUCCCUACAGUAAAGAAAUUUCAAAAUGUUCAGACAUUUGUAAGAAAAUAAAAAAAAUAUCACCAUCAUCCCAUCACCCCUAAAUGCUGCCUCAAAUUCAAACUGUCAUCACCCUCAUCAGGUAUUUUACAUUACUAGCUAAUAGCAGCUUUUGGACCUGAGGGGAAUCGAAUGUUCCCUUUCAACGUGUGUGGAUUCAAAGUCAGUGACAAAAUAUUGCCAGUCUCCUGGUCAGAAGGAACUCACUGCAAUGUAAGGAACUUGUCAGCUGUGGAAAGCCACUGCCUUAGCAGGAAUUGCCAGUUGGCUUUUUCUUUUCUCAGCCUGAAGCAGAUGCUUGCAGUGAUAGUUAUAUAUGAGGUCUAACAAGGUAUAACUUACAGAUCUACAGUCAGAGAAGAGAAUUUACUUACCAUCACACUGACCCACGCAUAUCUGCCUUGUCUUUGCUUUAUCAUUUGAGAUAAAGGAAAACUACUUUUACAUGACCCAGUAUGGAAAAGCAUGCCUGGACCUCUCUUCUCCUUGUCACUUCUCAAGGAAGUAUUUAGCAGCCUACUGAUUUCCUUUCAGGUCAGGGGAAACCCAGAAAGGAGUAUAGGAGAAAGUGGAAGGGAAAUGCAGAAUGACUACAGACUUAAAAAAAAAAAAACAAAAAAAAAAACAACCCACUGUUGUUACAGGUAGAUUUGAGCCUAAAAAUGUUCAAGCAUGUUCAUACUGCAGACAUCUUCAAAGUAUAAUCACAAGACCCUGGCCUAGGACCGGGUCUGAGAUGCCUUUCAUGCAAACAGUAAGCACUCCAGUUAGAGGAGUAACAGUAAGGAUGGCUCCUUUCCAAAGAUGUCAGCAAUAGGUGCCCUUCUCAGGGACACACACAGAGUAUCAGCAGCUCUGGUACUCCUGGCAGCAGGGCUGCAGUGACCAUGGCAGAGAAGUAGAUGCUGUGCCAUCCUAGCCUGUUCACAUGCUUUCUCACAGUGUGCUUGCUGAAAAGGUACAUAGAACACAGGUAUCUAUGCUAUGAAAAAAGCCUUUACAAUAGCACAACGGAUGCCUGAAAAUGUACUCGUCAAAACAGACAAGAUUCUUGGCCUCACAAUUACAUCUAUUUUAUCUUCCUUUCUCAGCCUCAGUUCCAAUUGCUUUGAAUCAUUUAGUACAGCUAAAGGAACUUGUUUCUUCUCAGUGAGAUCUAGGUUCACUGCAUACUAGUGGAUUUCCCUUCUGGAAAAGAACUGACAACAUGGCUAAGCUGCUUCUGUGCCUACAGAACACCAAACGGCUGAGGAAUUCCCCAGGUUAAACUCCAGGAAUAUGGCUGAUGCUGAAAGACUCAGAUCAGAAGCAGGCAAUGUUUGGGUCACAGUAACCUGUAACUGAAAUGACACAGAAUGAAUACAUUUCCACCAGUUAUGCCUUGGUGUACUGUCCUUAUCUGAAGGGAAAUUCAUGAGACACUGAAGACCAGACAAAUUUGAAGAUCGUCAUUUAUUCCUAGACCUCUUCCAGUGAAGCAGAAUAGCUAGGCUGACCCCAGGGAGACAUCCCUGACAGGCUGCUGAACCGUCUCAGCAAUCCUGGGAAGUUAUGGGCUGUGCAAGGCUGAGGACAAGAUCAAGACAGACCAUGAAAAAAAUCUCUUUCAGGAUCUCUGUUCUUUCACUGGAGGUCUUCACUAGUAGUGAUGACAACACUGCUGACUGAUAGCCGGGUGGAAGAAGCUGCCUCCUCAUACUGAGAACUGCUUUAGAAAGGAAGUGAUGCAGAUGGCCUGAGAUCUGGAUGUUCAAGGAAGCAGCAAAAAAAAGAUGGUGGAGACUGAGCAUGACAAAAAAUGCAUAUUGCCAUACAUAUAUCACAGAGUCACAGAAUGGAUUGGGCUGGAAGGAACCUUACAGAUCAUGCUGUUCUAACCCCCCUGGUGUGGGCUGGCUGCCACCCAUUAGACCAGGCUGCCCUGCUCAUCAGUGACUAAUCUGAAGAUAGAACAAAAAAGAUGCCAUAUUCAAUGCAAAAUAACAGCACAUUCAGCUUGAGAUAUGAAGGAACUCGCAUUACUUUUGGGUUCUGAAAUAUCUCACACUUCCCACAUCUUGAGUAUGACACACUAUUUAGCAGCACGACUGGAACUCUCACACUCACCACCUAUGCCCACCUUGCACAUCUGGACAAAAAGAUGUCACCUUUUAUUUGGACAAGCAUUAGGACUUCCCAAGAGUUCUCCAGAUAUUUGCUGAAAGCUUAUGAUGGGCAUGAAGGAGAAUCCAGAGUUUCCAUCCAAACUCAGGAGGGAAAUGUAAACUAGCAGGUACAGAUUUAUCUGAUAACCAUUUCCAAAUUUGAUUUUUGUCUCCUCUGAACUUCUGCAUCACUCUUGCUUCUUUCCUGGCCAAAUUCAUUCUAUUAUUUGCAUUCCCUUAGAAUAUAAAGUCACGAUCAUGUUUGGCUCACCUUAGUCUUAAUGCACUGAGACAGCAAACAUUAAUAUUUUAACCUUUUUAUGGCAUGGGAAAGUUAUAAUUUAAACUUAGCAACGUCUGUCUAUGCUCUCCUGCACAGCAGUUACAUAAAAAGGCUCAAUUCAUUUUAAUAAUUUGGAGAUCUAUUUUAUUUUUGUGGUAGCAUCUUUUUAUAAAUCCGUAGGUACCUACAGAGUACGCAGUACUGUGUUACAAAGAACUAUCUACAACUGUUAGAUACAGUCCACACAAGUACAUGUAAUACCUGAGACUUGAGCUUAGAUAAAAAUGGCCAUUCCAAUCACACAAAUAAAUAGGCAGCAGUUAUUUUUCCUUCUUUCCUUUCUUACAUACAUACAUUUACACUCUCCAUUAUUUUUCUACAGAAAUUACAAUAAAUCGUUAUUCCAGGACCUGGUUAAAUCAUACACCUAUAGAAGGAUAUACUGAGCAAAAAUGUUACAGUGAAGUAAUAUAGAAAUCUAGUUUAUUUACCACCACUCACUUGUGUAGUGUGGCCACAGCCUCUCUUGUCUUGAUCUGAUCCAAGCCAAAAGUGAGGGCAAACCGACGAGCCAGUUCCUUAAUUCCACUGACAUGGGCAGAUGUCCUGUCCAGAUUAGGACCUUGCUCCUGAACAAGUUCAUUGAAUAGCUAGAGAAAGAAUUCAGUUGUUAAAAUCUGUGUGCUACAAAACAUAUUCACUGACAAAGUCUUUUAUUUUUAACCUGUGAGGGCAGUGUGGACAUUAUGCUCACCUCUUAUUUACACAGAUAUGAUAGAUUUCACUUAUCUUCUAACCCACCUCAGCUCCCAGAUCACCUUCUGUGUAAAUGCUGUCUGACAACUGUCCCCCAACUUGUACUUGUGCAGAUCACAACUCGUAGACAGUACUUUGCACUUACCUUCACUGGAUUCUAUCUAUUGCUUUCCCAAAUCAUCAAUAUGGUUCUGCAUUCUUAAGCUGCUUUCUAAAAUACCCGCGUCCCCAUCAGAUCAGUACCAGAUAGAAAAUUAGGAAGCAAAAUUUCUAUUUCAUCACUCAAGACUUAAUGAACAUCUGAAGAGCAUUACUGGGUAAAUGCCUUCAAAACCUGCUUAGUAAAGCCAUUUCAGCACAAUAAUUAACAACUCAGUAGUUUUCUAAACAGUUCUUCAUCUAUAUUAUCUUACUACGGUACCAUUUAGACCACAUUUUACCAACUUGCUAAUGACAGCAUCAGAGGAGACUGUGUCAACAACUGCAUUACAUUUACUGUUUCUCUCAUAUCCACAAGCUCUGUUACCUUAUAAUUCACAAAAGCAGCUUCCUCUGACAUGAUUUCCCUGUGACAAAUUCAUACUGACUGUAACCUAUCACUUAGCAACUUGCAAAUGGCUUGUCUAAUAGAUAUUUUAUUUGUGAUGUGGUACUAGGCUGACAGAUCAUCACGGCAUCUGGCUUCUUCCUUUCUCCAAGUCUUAAGGACAGGAAUUACUUUGACACUUGUCAGUUCCUCUGGAAUUUCUUCAGUUUUUGUCAGGUUUUCACACAUCUCUCUUAGCUUCCAGAUUGCUACAGGAAAUUCUCAAGUAGUCUGGAAUGAAUACUGGAAGGCCCAGCUGAUCUGAAAACAUCUAAUUUAUGUAAGAAACGUCUCUAUGUAAUGAAUAUAUCUAGUACUUCAAGGGCCAAAACAGUAUUUAGGGAAGCACAUGCUUUGCGCUGCCAGUAAAACAAAGAUGGCUUUCAUCAUCAAGCCAAUCAUUUAUGGUUGCUAUGGAGCAAAUUGCACAUGGAAGAAACAUGCUUAAUAAUAUUGGAGGACCUCAACUAACCACCUCAAAGUAUGAAAAAUCAAUCAGUAUUUAGACAAAAGGAAAGGAGAAGGAGAAAAAUUCAUUCUAAUUCCUCUUGUUUACUAGGUACCAGUAAACAAACACUAUAAAUCACCUUGGAUCAAACUGCACUCAAAGCUCUUUUCUCUUGUUCUUCCAUUUUAACCUCACCAAAACUUUGCCUGUUGUGGCCUAAUGGUGCAGAGACAAGUCAAUGGUGACAGCUUGAACCACAAAGCAGCACAUCCUCUUAACAGAAGCAGAUUUUUUUUUUCCUCACUUAAAACAGUGCCAGAGAAAAGUCCUGCCCAGGAAUUUUUGCAAUGAAGGAUUUCUAACAAAAAUCAAUAUUCUUACCUGUUGCAAACUGAGAAUGAGUGUCUUUGCACACUGGAUUUUAUCAAUUUGCCUUGUUUUGCUCAGGGUUUCUUUAAUGAUAUCUCCGUAGUCAUUGUAGUACUAGGAAAAAAUGUGGGGAAAAAUCCUCUUUAACAGAAAUUCUUACACAAUAUUUCAGUUUUUUUCUGAUUACUUCUAGUUCUUCUUUUGAAAAGGCAGCAGUUUAAAAAAAACCAACAAAACCACAACAGUUUCAAACCCAGAUUUCUUGUACGAGUGGGAGGCAAUGUUUCUGUAUGAAAAUUCAAGCUGACUGGUCACCUGCACCUGACAAUGAGAUAAGGGACUUCUUUAUUUGUUAUCAUCUUUGUUACAUUGGUUAACAUAUUUAUUACAAAAGAUGUUGAAAAACAAACAAAAGAGCAUUUCCUAUCCCAAACUAAAUGUUUGAUGAAAGUGAGCUGUGGCUGAAAAUUCUAAGUAGUAAUAAUGCAUUGAACCUAUACAUUAUUGAACAGACAGUUACCAACAGAAGGUCCACGGUGAGUUAGAUGGCCAUCAUCCACUGAAGCCAGAAAACUGAAUAAGGAAUUAGUCAAUAUGAAUCACUGGUUCAUUCUCUGCACUGAAUGAGGAAUGACUGCUGAGAAGCACAGCCUGCAUAACCAUUAAAACUUUGGGCUGAGAAUCUAAACUUUUUUUUUCCCAGUAUUCUUUCAGCUUGAUUAAUCCUUCUGCAUUUGCAACCAUUUCUUUUCAUUCCCUCUCAUUGUGUUCCUACCUUCUUUGCUACAGAAAUCAUCCUAGUUUGCACUCUAAAUUCAGUUUCUCUCACUCAUCCCUUAUUUCAAGAGAUAGAGGGAAAGAGAGAGAAAAAAAAAGAGUAGCAGAAGGUAGGAAACUAACCACCUGCAGUCUGAUAACUCCAUCUUGAAAUUGCUGCUCUGUAUUCUUUGGUAUGCCUAAUCUCUUAGAGAGGGACACGUGAGUACACCUGGCAAUCUGAUAUAAGCUGAGGGAUUUGGUAUACCUUGGCAGUGUCAGGAGUGCUACGUGCAUACUUACUGGCAGGGAAACAUGCAAGGAGAGCGUAAAGUGGAAGCUGUGUAGCAAGUCUUUCUGAAUUCCUCUGGGACUAAAUAUUGUAUAGAAGCAGUGUAGGUUGAUAAAAUAUGCAGGUACUGCACAUCCACUUACAGCAGUACCACACUGCACUUUUUGACUGCAUUCCUGUUUAAAACAAUCUCUUCCCACAGAAAAAAAAGCCUGCUUCCCUGCUGUGGCAAACACCAAGGCUGGGAGAGUCCCAGUGAAACUGACAAACUACUGUUAUCGUGAAUUCUAGGAAUUAAUUUGAGGAGCAGGAUAAGAAAUUCUCUGUGAGGUAUGCCUCUGAAAAUACUCAGCAUCUUGUAGGAUCUUAGUAAGGUUCUCCUUACAUAGGAAGGCUAGUUCAGAUCUUGCAGUUUCUCAGUGACAGGUGUAAUUUAAAAAGGAAAAUCUAGUACAGAAAUCCAGUAACGCUGGCAAAGCUUUCAAGUGGUCAGUCUUCAACUACAGCACUACAAGGGAGAAAAGCAAGUAACCUGACACUACAAUGUAAGUUCACUUAGGAGGAGCAGAACACGCAGAGCUGUACCUUCAUAUAGUGUUUGAAGAUAUCAGCUGCUGCAUGCAUGUCCACGAUGUCAUAAAUUAUCAGCUUGCUAAAGGCAGCCAGAAGGUUUCUUCUCUUAUGUAAAGCUUCUAUUUUGUUAGCUUCAUCUUCUUCAUCUCCCUCUGAAAGCAUCAACAAUAAAAUCAUUAUAAUUGCCUGUUAUUGUCUAGAGCAGCAUUAUUUAAGAGUAGUGUUCAGGAAAAAAGUCAAUUAUUUAAAAUGGAAGCAAGGAUUGUUGCAGGAAAAGCUAAAACAAAAGAUGAGUAUUCUUGAAUGUUAGGACCUUCAGGGAAUCUGGGAAUUUCAGGAAGAUGACACCAUUCACCAAGGAUGCUAUAGUCCUGAAUAAUACUGAAUGCAAUCCAUGUGGAACUGAAUCACUUAUUUUCCUAACCCUGUGAAAGGCCACAGCGAAGAGCUGUUGAAUGCUUUAUGCUUAACUUCUGAAAUGAAAGGACAGUUGGAGAUACUUCUUUAACGUGACUAAUCUGUACAUGUUUCAUAUGAGAAGAAUUAGAAACCAAUACUUGUACUGCAUGCCCUGGAUUUGUAGGUAUGAAAUACACAGCUCUAAAGCAGCAAUAAACAACAGGAAAUAAAAUCCAGUUGUAAGACAUUAGUGCUCAACGUCUCUUAAGCAUUAAAUCCCCAUGUAGGACUCCACUCAGAAAGAAAAUGAAAACUAUACACAUAAAGUGUGAAAUAAAUUAUCAUAUAGCAUAACUGUAUUACACAAUUUACAGAAGAAAAUGCAAUCAGCUCUAACAAUUGUGAUAAUAGCAAAUAUCAUGUAUUUAGUAGAGAGCUUUAAGGGGAAUGUCCUAACCAGCUUGAAUUAAAACAGAUCUGUGUAGGGGCCAGAAGGGACACAGCAUCACCGAGAAUCUCUUGCUUCACUCUUACUGUAUUCUCCACAAAGCCACUUUGUAUAAAUCAUGUAUUUUAUAGUAGGAAAUCUCUUACAAGCAGUGGAGUUGACUGUAUGUACACUUUAAUCCUUAGAACUGAAGCAUCUUCUCAUUUUCCUUCAUUUCUUUUUGUAGUUACAAUGUAUUCUGAAUACCAAAAGCUGCAAAUUUUCAGACUGACUUCACGGACUUAAAAGUAGCAUUUGGGGACACAGAUUACAUACAAAGAUCUUCAUCCACCUUUUUGCUGUCUUCCAAUUCCAAUUACAGGAUGAUAAAAAGCACUAACAUAGCUCAGGAGAAAAAUGUCCUCUUAAAAUCUGCACUUUAUUUAUUAUUCUGAUCAUUGGGCUCACAAAGUACAAUUAACAUAAACUGUGUACUUCUGGUGAAGUUGUGUUUCGAAAUGCAUUCUUUUUUAGCUACUGUAAUCCAUAAAGAGAUCUUCAAAAAGAUGCAAGCUAGUGGGGAGCUAUUGAGCUAGAAGACUGAAAGCAUCUCAAAAGCAAGAACAAAUUCUCUGAGACCUCAGUUCUAUACACUACUGUCUGAAAAGAUCAAAACCGCACCUGUGUGCUGUGCUAACAUACAAGGAACUGAGUUCAAUGGAAAUUCAGAAAACGUGCUAAAAAAAGCACUACAUUCAGUAUGCAUUCAGCAGGUGUUUCAUGGUUUGGUGGGUUUGUUGUUGUUGUUUUUGACUCUCUGGGAUUCCUUCUCCUGUACAAAGCUGUUUAGGAUUCAGAAAUUGGGUGCCCGUAUGUAGGUAUUUAGGCAUUUGUAACACAUAGUAGUGGCAAUUUAAAAACAGAUCUCAAUGACAAAUCUGUUCUUCCCUGACUGAAAGCAAACAAUCUCAUCAUCCUUCUGAGCAAGCAGAGAUGCCUUACCUACUGCCUCUCAAAGCAUGGCCACACAAGGACACCUAAGAAAUAAUAAGGAUACAAGCAAGUAUACACAAUACUUCUCCAACUAUUCUGGUCUCCAAUGACUUUCAAAUCAAGAAUCCUGAGCUUUAUUUUGAAAAUUUUAGUAUUUCAGUACUUCAGUAUUUUGAAAAUAAAUACUAAGAAAAAGAUAAAAAGAGCUGAAGAACAGUUUUGUACAGAUUAAUAGCAUGUUGUUUACAGGCUACUCCUAUGUCUUCUGUAGACACCUCAUCUCAUGAAGUGAACUUCGUAACUACUUUUUAACACACACAGCACUGAAUGCUUCAUAUGCACACUCACCAUUUGCCCUCCUAAAACUAAGGAAGGAAUAAUUUUGAAAACAUUUUUGAGUAAACUGAUCUGAAAAUUCUAUUUUCCUCUUUCUUCUGCCUCUGUUAUGGAAAAAAAGCUAAGUAGAACACUUGAAAGCUAAACGUACCCAUGCUCUGGUUUUCAUCAUCUUGGUCAAUGAAGACGUGGUCCAUCACAAAACUGAGAAGUUCUGACUGCAGGCCUGAGUCUGGAUUAAACACCAGCGGCUGAAGACCUUCACGACCUCCAGUCAUCAGCUGGUGACUAAAAAUCAUCAAGAGAUCGCAGAGCAGCAUGAAGGCCUGCAAGGCAAAAGAGAUGUAAGAAGAGUAAGAACUAUAAGUCAAGCAAGGAAAAACCAAAAUACCAUUUAUCUAAUUUCUAGAUAUUCUCUCCUUUAUCUCCUUUAACUAAACUGAGUUGUGUAUGUUUCUGUACUGUGAAGAAUGUUCACUGGGGGUUCCCUUAGUUUUAAAAUACUAUGUCCCUUAUUCCUACGUAGGGAACUAUGUUUACUGAUGCUCCAUGUCCAGGAUGAACCAUAUUAAAUUCCCAUUUCUUCUCUGUGGGAAGAACUGUAAAUCCCUUUCUACUCCAAGGACUGCAUUAAAGAAAAAAACACCCCCUUUGAUAAACAGUUUAAGAAGUUAAAGAAGAAGAAAACUACGAUCUGCUUAGACUUUGGACACAAGUGCCAGUAGUUGGGAUUUUUCUCUAUAGUACCUGGAAAUUUGGGAUUCAUUUCAGUCAUGACCUGUCUGCUCUAAUCUGCUUCAACACUCGAUAGAACUUAAACUAAUCCUAAUGUUGACCUCUAAAAAAGAAAAAUACACCACUAAAAUAAAAAAUUAUGCUCUGAGAGUGCUUUUUUUUUUCUAUCCAAGAUAAAGACAGCACAGGUACAGAUGAUGAUGUAUCGUAGACAUGUCUGCUCAGAGAUUUAUUUCUCUUAGUCUAAAAAACUUGGGAUGUUCCAGUUCUGUUUCUAAACGUUACACUUUCUUCUCUCCUUUAAGAUGCAAUUGAUCUUCUCUGAGAAGAAUGUACAGAUUAAGGAGCAAACAUACUAGAGAGAAAAUGUAACAUCAAGAAUUCUCAAAAAAAUAAGUAAAAUUAAGGAAGAGUUCCUGCACUUGCAGAAACAGACUUUUUAAAAAAGAAGUUUAAAAGCAUCAUAGAUGAGUUAGUUGGAAGGGAUCUCUGGAGUCUCAAGUCCAAUCUACUCUGACUGGAACUCUUGCUGUCUGUAUGUCUGGUAGGUCAGAGCCUUGAAAGCUUCCGCAUAAUGGUGGAAAACUGAAAAGGAACUUCUAGGAAAAGCUGAAAUUAUCAAUGAAGAAAAAAACCAAAACAACAGAAUAAGAGAAUUAAAACAUUUUAAAAUAUAUCAAGAACAAAACCAAUGCAGGAAUGGUAAGAAUCAUUUACAAUUUGUUGAUGCAGAAACAAUAUUAGAGCUAGCCUAUGCUACAAUGGUUGGUAUUUUCAUGAAGCUAGAUGUUAUUUUCACAUUAUAUAACGUUAGUAAAAUAUGUUCUAUGUCAAGAGUAACUAUUCAGAGGACUAAAAAUAAUUACUAAACUUAAUCUACUGGAAGACAAUGACACCUCAGACUCCUUUAAAAAUACAUAGGUAGGCUUUUCUGAGUCUUUAGUAUUUAUAUCAACUUGCAGAAGACAGUAUAAAAGCCAAACAGAGCUAUCUUUCAAAAACAAAAAACAGUAUCUGUGUAAAAAGUGUUACCUUUUAAAAAACACAAGUACCUGUGUGCCACUUAAUUGUCUUGGCAAAGUCAAGGAAGCGUUGAUAUAAAAAAGCAAUUUGCAGACAACUAAAAGAUGUCAAAAGACCUGAUAUAAAUCAGCAAAUGUUAAAAUCUGAGCAAAUACACCAGCUACUGUUUAUUGCAGAGACUGCAAAUUAUUUCAGUAAGUGCUUGGAUUUAAUUUGUUUUAUUGCAAUUUUUAAAUACACAUAACAGAAGCUUCCCAAUCCACACGUGUGGCUUUCCAAAAACCAAACAUAGAUAACUGAAUAACUACUUUGAGCCAUAAAAAAAUGGAUACCUUACUACAAUCUACAAGUUUUGUAUGUGUACCUUUGGCAUAUGUGUGCUCUCAUGCCCGUGCAAUUAUAAGUGCAUGCAGACAGAUGCAUGCACUUAUAAUUGCAAACAGCUUUCUGAAGAAGCACAGCAACCUAUGCUAUAAUUUCUACAUUUUUGAAAAUCUAAAGAAAUCCUCCCCUUGAUAUUUAAUGAAGACAUUAUGUAACUGGAUAUUUUACUAUGAUUUACCAAGGAGACAUAACUAUUUGUCAAGUA